GAUGAACGCCGGCGGCGUGCUUAACACAUGCAAGUCGAACGGAGAUAUUAAAAAUGAAGUAAGGAGCUUGCUUCGGACGGAAUGAUUAAUAUCUUAGUGGCGGACGGGUGAGUAACGCGUGGAUAACCUGCCUUAUACUGGGGGAUAACACUUAGAAAUAGGUGCUAAUACCGCAUAAGCGCACAGCUUCGCAUGAAGUAGUGUGAAAAACUCCGGUGGUAUAAGAUGGAUCCGCGUCUGAUUAGCUAGUUGGUGGGGUAACGGCCCACCAAGGGGACGAUCAGUAGCCGGCCUGAGAGGGUGAACGGCCACAUUGGGACUGAGACACGGCCCAAACUCCUACGGGAGGCAGCAGUGGGGAAUAUUGCACAAUGGGGGAAACCCUGAUGCAGCGACGCCGCGUGAGUGAAGAAGUAUUUCGGUACGUAAAGCUCUAUCAGCAAGGAAGAAAAUGACGGUACUUGACUAAGAAGCCCCGGCUAACUACGUGCCAGCCGCCGCGGUAA
rnacentral:rRNA from 1 species